GACUUCGCCGCUGCUGUAGUUCCCCGGCUGGAUGCGGUGACUGGUGCCAGUGCUCAGGCGCCCGCUGCCCUUGACCUCCCGCCCCGCGAGCCCUAACUCAGCGCAGGAGGACCGGCUGCCGCCGCCGCCGCCGCCAGAGCCUUGGCUGCCCAGUUGCCAGUCCUACCACGGUCGGAGGUAACCUUCCUGGCUCCAGUCACAUGGCCAGAUAAGGUGGUGUGUGUGGGCAUGAAUUAUGUGGACCACUGCAAAGAACAGAACGUGCCCGUGCCCAAGGAGCCCAUCAUCUUCAGCAAGUUUGCCAGCUCCAUCGUGGGGCCCUAUGAUGAGGUGGUCCUCCCACCACAGAGCCAGGAGGUAGAUUGGGAAGUGGAGCUGGCCGUGGUCAUUGGAAAGAAAGGCAAGCACAUCAAGGUGAAGUGGAAAAGUGGCUGCUGGGAAAAACCUUCGACACCUUCUGCCCUCUGGGCCCUGCCUUGGUGACCAAGGACAGUGUAGCAGAUCCACACAACUUAAAGAUCUGCUGUCGAGUGAAUGGGGAAGUGGUCCAGAGCAGCAACACCAACCAGAUGGUAUUCAAGACAGAGGACCUGAUAGCCUGGGUGUCCCAGUUUGUUACCUUUUACCCAGGGGAUGUCAUCCUGACUGGGACCCCCCCACCUCCACCCAGGUGUCGGUGUAUUCAGGAAACCUCCUGUCUUUCUCAAGGUCUCUGAAGGUCCAGACAGCACUGAUGGCGAGCUUUGGGUCCGCACACUCUGGAAAGAAGAGAGAAGUGAAGGCUCUAGGUAGGGAGAACAGAGAGCCACUGGGCACAGGCUUCUCUCCUCUUGUUUAAAGAAGCCCAGGGAGGGAUAGAGCUCUGACUGGACAGAAGACUGUACUCUGCAGCCUGCCUUCCUAGAGUUGGGUUGUCACUGUCCUGCAGGGGGCAGCAGCCACCAGCAAACACCACUGCCUGCAGGAGCCUGGGCUGACUGGUUGGGACUCACCGAAGAUCCCUUCUUCCUGGGCGGUGGCCUGCAGGAACUGGAACAGCUGCUCUGUGUAGCCCAACUCUGCAGAAGAGAGAAGACCUAGACCUGGCACCCAGCACAGACACAGCCUGCCUCGAGGACUGCAAGGGAACAAGGGCCUCACCAGUAUCGGGCAGCUGGCCCUGGCGGAGGAAGGCGGCAGCCUGUGCAAAGGCCUUGAGCAGCGGGCUGAGCAGGCGGCAGAGGAAAAGAAAGAAAUCUGGGCAGUGUGACUGCUGGCUGAGCUGGAGGGGACAGGCCGGGGUGAGUGCAGCUCCCCACCGCCUCCCUACCACCUCCCUCCAGGGGCAGCUUUUUGAAACACACCCUGAAGUACCGGCCGUCAGCCUCUCCGAAGUCAUCACUGUCACUAUCAGUAAAGUCCCCACUCGGUU
rnacentral:lncRNA from 1 species